rnacentral:rRNA from 1 species
GACGAACGCUGGCGGCGUGCUUAACACAUGCAAGUCGAACGGAAAGGCCCUGCUUUUGUGGGGUGCUCGAGUGGCGAACGGGUGAGUAACACGUGAGUAACCUGCCCUUGACUUUGGGAUAACUUCAGGAAACUGGGGCUAAUACCGGAUAGGAGCUCCUGCUGCAUGGUGGGGGUUGGAAAGUUUCGGCGGUUGGGGAUGGACUCGCGGCUUAUCAGCUUGUUGGUGGGGUAGUGGCUUACCAAGGCUUUGACGGGUAGCCGGCCUGAGAGGGUGACCGGCCACAAUGGGACUGAGAGACGGCCCAGACUCCUACGGGAGGCAGCAGUGGGGAAUAUUGCACAAUGGGCGGGAGCCUGAUGCAGCAACGCCGCGUGCGGGAUGACGGCCUUCGGGUGAUAAACCGCUUUCGCCUGUGACGAAGCGUGAGUGACGGUAAUGGGUAAAGAAGCAACGGCUAACUACGUG